rnacentral:rRNA from 1 species
ACGCUCGACACCUACUGGAGGCAGCAGUCGGGAAUAUUGCGCAAUGGAGGGAACUCUGACGCAGUGACGCCGCGUAUAGGAAGAAGGUUUUCGGAUUGUAAACUAUUUUAGACAGGGAAGAAUAAAGACAGUACCUGUAGAAUAAGCUCCGGCUAACUACGUGCAGCAGCCGCGGUAAUCUGAGCGGGCUGGCAAGGC